AUGUUGAGAAAAGCAAGAUUUUUGUUCAGAAGUGUGCCCAGUGCCACACCGUGGAAAAGGGAGGCAAGCACAAGACUAGGCCUAAUCUCCAAGGUCUCUUCGGGCGGAAGACAGGUCAGGCUGUUGGAUUCUCUUACACAGACACCAAUAAGAACAAAGGCAUCACCUGGGGAGAGGAUACACUGGUGGAGUAUUUGGAGAAUCCCAAGGGUAUGGAAGAAAAAUGAUCUUUGCCGGCAUUAAGAAGAAGGCAGAAAGGGCAGGCUUGAUAGCUUAUCUUAAAAAAGCUACUAA
rnacentral:lncRNA from 1 species